AAGCAUCAAAACUCAUUCUCUCUUCUCCAGUCUCUCCUAGUUCACUCUCAUCUUCUCAGUGUCCUGAAUUGCUCUAUGUCUCCAUGUCCUCUCACACCGACCUGUUAAGACACCUGAGCGUUCAGAAUGUGCGUAGCGUCUUUGGACAAGGACUAGCUGUCUGGUCCAGCCUGGAGGAAGAGGAUGAGGGGGAGGGGGGUCGAGUAAAACAUAGAGAGCCACCAGGCAGAUGUUUGGAAUAUGUGGUGCCCAAUGGCAUCAUAGAAGAAGGCAGGGCAAUGAUGGAGGAAGGGCACAGAUAUCUAGAGCCUAUUUAAAGGGCUUGCAGACACUGAGACUGGCCAUUAGAUGUGUUUCUAAAGGCAACCAGCUCUUCCACACAUCUGUCUGUCUGUUUGGUCGCCUGUUCUUCUCUGUGUGUCCGUCUGUCUGUCUCGUCUGCUGCCAUGUUGGGACAGAGACUCCUGCAGACUUCAGUGGUGCUGUGGCUGGCACAGGUCACUUUACAAGGAGGUGUCAGACCCCAAACUGGAGCUCUAGGGAGAUUGGUGCCAAGUCGAGGUGCUAGUCUUGGUGCUGUUGGUCUGGGUGCCAAGCCAGGAGUAGGUGCUGGUAUUCUCGGAAGCCGUGGCUAUGGAGGCAAAGCUGCAAAGGCAGGCACUGGCCGUUACCUUGGAGCGGGAGGAUACAGGCCGUUACAAAGUAGAGGAGGAAUGAAGCAAGGCUACGGAGGAGCUCUCGGAGGUUAUGGUGCUGCUCUUGGAGCAGGACUUGGGAACGGUCUGGGAAUGGCUCUGGGAGCUCAGGCAGGAAAACUUGGACGAGGAUACACUAAUGGCUAUGGACUCCAGCCAGGUUACGGCGCUGGUGUAUACCCUGGCGUUGGACGCGGAUAUAAUCUUGGAUUGGGCAGCUAUCCCGGAGCAGGACUAACUAAUGGAUAUGGAGCAGGCUAUGGCAAUGUGUAUGGCUUUAAUGGAUAUGAUGGUGGCUAUGGAGCUGAGCUUGGCUAUCCGGCAGCGCUUGGCGAUGCCACUGGGCUUGGAAGCAAGGCUGGUCUGGGAGCUGGAGGCUUUGCAUCUCCAACACUGGGACUCAGCGCUGGCCUGGGAACUGGUCUCGGCACAGACGCCAAGUCUGCUAAGUAUGGUGGCGCCACUCCUGGUUCUGUGCUCGGUGCUGCUGGAGGUCAGCCAGUUGUGUCUGCGGGACUCGGCCCUCAAGGCAAAACAGGUGGCUAUGGAGGCGCUCCUUACGUGGGACAGACAGCAGGCCUGGUACCUGACGCUUCUCUGGGUGGAACUGGUGGAGUCCUGGAACCUGUGACUGGUGGAGGUGUGGGUCAGUAUCCUUACAAUGGAGCAGGAGUUGUCCCAGCCGGACUGGAAGGUGAAAAUGGAUAUGGAUACGGACCUCAGCAGCUCAGUAUGGGAACUGAUGGAGGCAAAUUAGCAUAUGGGGAGGGAGGAGCCUAUGCAGCACAGCCAGCAGGCUAUGGUGCAGCCAUGGGGGCCGGAGGUCAGGGUCCUUACGGAGGAGGAAAGGACGAGAGCAAGUACAACCUGGGUGGUCUCUACGGAAACAGAAUCAAAGGCUGAUGUCUCAUGUGACUUGAGCGUGAAUUUGGCUUCGUCCCCAUCCGUGUGUCCCCACAUCCUCCAUCACUGUUUAGUUUAAUGUGCCAGUGUGUGUCAUCCGCCUGCUGUGUUUUAGCUGUAAUUUAGUCCUUGUCAUCCUUGUCCUUGUUUGUUCAUGUGUGUAUGUGUGUGUGUGACUAUGUGUUUGUAUGUUUGUGUGUGUGUGAGAGUGUGUGUGUUCUUAUUGUAAUGAUGGUCCUAGAUUGUGUCGUUUGUGUUUCCUCCCUCCUUCUUCGCUGUUUUUGGGAGCGUGUCCGACUCCUGUUGUUGGUCCCUGUAUCCAACUAAAACCUUUUGCGCACUACUUUUGGUUGUUACUGUAAUUCUUAUCAAGACUAAACAUGUCCCCUCACUUCUGUGACUAAUUGUGUUGUUUCCACAAACAUGUGAAGAUUGACAAAAGUGAUAUAUAUGAACAUAUUGACAACUUGUAAAUGGAUAUAGAGAA
rnacentral:lncRNA from 1 species